rnacentral:rRNA from 1 species
CCUACGGGAGGCAGCAGUGGGGAAUAUUGGGCAAUGGGCGCAAGCCUGACCCAGCAACGCCGCGUGAAGGAAGAAGGCUUUCGGGUUGUAAACUUCUUUUGACAGGGAAGAGCAGAAGACGGUACCUGUCGAAUAAGCCACGGCUAACUACGUGCCAGCAGCCGCGGUAAUACGUAGGGGGCAAGCGUUGUCCGGAUUUACUGGGUGUAAAGGGCGUGUAGCCGGGCUGACAAAGCAGAUGUGAAAUCCGGGGGCUCAAACCCCGAACUGCAUUUGAAACUGUUGGUCUUGAGUAUCGGAGAGGCAGGCGGAAUUCGUAGUGUAGCGGUGAAAUGCGUAGAUAUUAGGAGGAACACCAGUGGCGAAGGCAGCCUGCUGGACGACAACUGACGGUGAGGCGCGAAAGCGUGGGGAGCAAACAGGAUUAGAUACCCCUGUAGUC